ACUACGAAAGCAGAAACAGUUUGUUUCUUUCGUUUCUCUUCCAUCCUAUUUUCUUUUUUACAUACGAAAGUAUUAAUGAUUAAUUCAACUUGAUUUUAAUUUCAGCUUUUCCCCUAAAUCGAGUUUCGAACAACCUAAGUGGUAUAAUUUUGAUUGGGGUUCAUUUAUUUCAUUUUCUCCCCCAAACUUAUACUAGGGAUGCACCAAAUCAAUUGAUGAUUUUGAUGACCACCCAAAUCGAGCUCCAAUUCCAGUUCAGUUUUUUUAUCACCAUUAUUAUCAGGGUGAACCAGAAACAAAGACGGAUACAUCCCAAAGUCUUUUUGCCACUCGAAGAACAACAAGCUACUAAAAGAGAAAGGUGUAGUGUUGGAAAAAUAAGGUGUCAGAUGAGGUGAAGUUGCCACAAAAGAGCGUAGGCGAAAUUAGUAGAGAUCUAGGCAGGCUAGGCAGCAAAAUGUGGAAAACCGAAAUCCUAAAAGACCAAGAUGAGUCUUGGCACUAACUCUGCCAUGGAAGUGUUCGAUUAUUAUACAAUCAUAAUUUAUUAAUUAUGUAGACACGGAGAAAGUAUAAAAUGUGUACACCAACGCACUGCACUCUCAUAAAUCAACAACUCUCUUAGUGUCAUACUACCAAGAAUAUCUAUAAUACAAAACAUAAUGGUUCUUUUGAGUUAUCAACGGCUAGAUAAUAUUUUGAGAGACAAACGGAUGAUCUAACCAUCCCAGUCUCAUCCAAGCAAUAUACAUCUGAUGGUCGUGGUGUUUGUAACUUCUUUCAUUAUGAACUAAAUUUAUUAAUCUUUAAUUAA